GGUAGAAGAAGAAGAAGAAGAUGUGUGUGUGUGGACCAUACAGCUGCUUGGAAUGUAAAGUGCGAAUUGAGGUUUCCAGUUUGGUCGAGUAUAUAAUUCGGGUCUGUUGUGCUCAUCCUGGUCGUCACUAACCACGGCCCCAGACUUCGCCCAUGUACAGAUCAGCAAGCCGUGAACUGGGUCUUUGAUGUCCCAUUCGUGUGGAGAUGACCUUCAGCUCGUGGAUCUCGGAGUGAGAGCAUUUCAUGACAAAUUGUCAUUGUGAGUGUCACCUUGCCUAUCCGCGCAGGAACUUCCAUAAAUCCACUCUAGCUUUCUUUCACGUCGUCGUCGAGGCUGCCGACAUCACAUGAGCUUGUCUCGAUUAGCAAAAGGUACACGGUACACUGAUUACAAUUCUUCUGGCUUAGCGUACUUCCUUCUGUAAUCGGGAGCCCUAAUUCGCAUAAUUCGGAUAGCGAGGGUCAAUCGGCUCUGGCAGGAGGUAGUCGUUAUAAAUUCGCGCAAGGUACACCACCCUUUUCUCGUUCCGAAAGGCGUCGUCCAGUACCUACAACGAAGAGGCAGUACUGCCGGUUGGUUAUACGUGGAGUUGGCCGUGGAUCUGGUACCAGUAGACAUGCGCGCACUUCCACAGACCGCACUUCCUCAGUUCCGGUACGUGACUCUGUCCUGUACGCUUGCUACCGUCCGCCAGUUGGUCCUGAUAUUUCGCGAAUGUUCCGGUCACCAUACACGGCAUGCUUAGUGCGGCACAUAACUGAUCAUCGGCUCAAUAUGCUGUUCCACUAGAGAGGACUCCCAAAACUACAGCGGUGUUCACGUCCAUAUGAUCUUGUCCGAUGCUUGUUGGAACCUCAGUGUCAGCGACACCCUUUAGUGUGCACAUUUUGCACUGCAGUGUUAAUUCACUGCGCAGUCCUUUUCUGCGUUCAGAAACGACUUCCAUGUCCGCAAGUGCACAACUGAAUGCGUGAUAGAUUCCGAGCGCCUUGAAGCUACUGAUCCGCAUGUGAGCAUCAAGGUGUUGUAAUCUUUGCUUCAUCGUGCGAGCAACUACACAUGUAUAACUUUCUGAGGUACCACUAGGGUAUUACUGUCAUCAUAUGCUCACGUUCAUCAGUGUCCGCCCUGACGCCCUCAUUGUGUAACGGUGUGAGGAAGACGGCACUGUGGGUUUGCCGUGCCGCCGGUUUUUGACGCUUCUGCCAUCCCAGUGCUCGCUCAUGACGUCGUAACGCUGAUAUUCAUUUCGCAAUCUGAGGGAGCCAACAUUUCUAUCAAUUUAUUUACCGUACUUCGACCUGGGUCCCAAGUGCUCCGAUUCCAUUUCAGCUUCCAUUCUGAUUCAACUUCGAUCCUGAAUAACUUUUCUCAGCCGAAGCAUAUAUGCACACUUGCCCAUCAAAAUUGUCCGCUGUACCUUAUCGUACACUAAACGUUAUGGACGUGUCUGAAAUCUGCCCCAACCAGCUCCAUCCGCCACCCGAAAUUCCAAAUCCUUAGGGUCUAGGGGACCGCACUUGAUCCGCGCUCCUAACCACGUCAUGGGACGAGGGGAUACCCAGUGCGGUUCAAAUAACUAUUGUAAUUUUGUCCCAUGAAACAAUAGACCCCCCUUCCCGUUGACAUCCUACUGGAUGAGUGCUAAAAGCGCUGCCAGGUUUCCGGCAUCCACUGUAAAAGAAAAGAUUUCACUGUAUAACCUAUCCAGCGCCACUAUUUUUUUUACAAGCAUGAUCCUUCCACAUUUCUGUGGCUGCGACUGGGAAUUCCAAGACAAAUAAGUUUCAUCUACUGUUCCCCGAGAAAAUGAGCAUCAUUGAACAAACAAUAAACAAAAUUUGGGGCUGGGCUACGCUGCCCGUGCCCGUGCUCCCGCGUCAUGGUCAACGUCGGCGUCGUCGUCUUCCGCCCAUGUGCAGCGGUAUAUCAUUUCCAGCGGUCAAAUUGUUGUUGCUUGUGACGACACACUCGAUGAUAGAUGGCAGCACUGCGCUUCCCAUUCUGAAGGGACGUACUCCACUGAUGACCAUACCUGACAAGAACUCCUGUGCCGAGUCAACGGCUUAACAUAGAUGAAAUCUUUUUGUUGGUAUUGGUUCUUUAUAUGUUUUUCUAGUGCGUGAUCGAGCCAGAUUUUCGAUUUUGGGCGGCUCUAUUUUGUAAGCGAGCGGAAUCUCGAAAUAUAGCUUUUCCCAAACCUUUUGACGACGAUAUAAAAAUUUCUGAGUCUAAAACGCAAAAUCUGCUUCGAUCAGGCACUAGAUCUAAGCAUCCUCUCCCAUUUAAAAGCAGUUGCACGGAGAUCAACCAAAUUUUCGCGGCACUACGAGUUGAAAAAUGUAUGGGGAUUCCCAUAGAGCGUCGGUGGUGAUGCACCGCCUUAAAGCGCGGUGAACUGUCGGAUCAACUGAGAACGAAGAUAGUAAGGUAGCUGCACAUGGACAUCUGCCGCCACUCUCUGUAAGUGGCUGGCCCUUCGUUAAAACAUAAUGAGCCUCAUGCAGACAAGGCACAACUUCCACAUUUUGACACUGUAUUUGCAUAAAUUAGUUUAAAUGGUUAAUGCAAUAAUUUUAUAGCAUGUUUGCGGUGUGACCACCCUUUCCCCCAGAUACCCUGGAAAAAGAAAUUUGUUAUAUGAGGCGGCACGACUGCUAGUGUAUCUCUAUCCAGCGCUGCGUGACGUCAAAGGCACAGGAUUUAACAGGACACAGGAUCAACGGAAGUCGCCGAGUGAUAUUCAGAUGGUGCAGGCACAGCGGGAAAAAUAUGGAAAGAGAAAGAGACAGGAGGAGGAGGGCCAAAGGACUUCAGCCACAAGCAGCUGCAUCCGUCCAACGGUUCCGUCGGAAGACCAGUUGGAAGACAGUGACGCGUUAGCUGCCCACUGCCUCUUCAUGGUCAGAGAAAUGCGAAGGAGCCCUGAGGAGAGGCGCCGGGAUCGUAUCACAGAUGCAAUGUCCAGAACACAUGCUGCGAGACGCCGCUUGAUCGAGUAGAAGGAUAGUGAUGAACGACAGUGCCUCACCGUUGCUGAUGUGCUUUCUGAGUACCCUGCUUUGGCGCUAGAAACAGAGGACCCUUUGGCUGCUGACCCUGCACACCCCUGCGCAGAAGUCUCUGCUGCUUUGUGGGCACCUUCCUCAAUCAUGGUUCGGCUCGAGAGCUUUUCGGUGAAUGUUACAAACCUCAAUGCAGCGGUGGCACUUGUGCUGUCGCUGUAUUGGGUUUAUAACAUGCAUUACUCCUGGCGAUUGAGGAAGGUGUUCACAUUUCUUGAAAAUGUCCUUGGGCUGGCACAAGAGUCCACGGCAUCACUCGCGUGGUAACCAAGCUAGAAAAUGAAAGCGGCUUUAAGGAUACCAAAUAAACCUUCUCCACGUUCUGUGCUAAAUGGAAGCCGUUACGAAUGCCAUAUAACUGCCCCAAUUUCCAUUGCAUGAAUUGACUUGAACACGCCUGCCUUCCAUGAGCUGGUAGCUCCUGUCGGGAAGGUAUACUCGAUAUCCUGUGCGAAAGUAAGAAUCACCCCUUUUCCAGAGGGUGAGAGAGGAGUUUCACUGAUGCCUGCAGAGGGCAUUGGAAUUGCUCCAUGUUAGGGUUUGUCUUGACUCCACUGAUAGGUAUUUACUCCCAGCGUAUCUGUCACUGUGGGUUGUAUCAAAUUUCCUUGCAUGGCAUGACCGUAACAUCCCCAUAGGGCAUUUUAUCAACUCCUCUAGUGGGCAUUACUGCUAUUCCAUUUCACAGCAUUAAUGGGGAUCCAUAGGGUAGUGUCACUGCUGCUCCCACAGCAGAGGCAGUGUGCAUACCUUACCCGGUAUGAAGGGAACUCCAUUUGAACCAUACCGAAGGAGGUCGUCAGGACAACAUCUGCAGGUGCUGGCAGCUACUUCAGUGGGUGUCACGGUUACACCACACAAAUGUAGUAGCAUGUUACUCCCCUUAGGGGGUGUAUCUUUUGCUCCAAAAUGGAGUGUUCCUUGGGACAAGCCAUUUACUCCAUUAAGGGAGUCGUGACCCCCCCCCUUUUUUUGUAGUAGAAUUACGAUCGUAAACAAAACAAAACAAAAAACUUCACAACAAUGGCAUGGCGUGAGUGUGUACGAACAGGUUAUUCCUAACUUCAAUGUAGAAAAAUUAUAUGUUGUCCGACUCGUGCACAUAUACGAAAUCAUCUACCACCCGAGUACGUUUCCGUAUCCCGCUCCCCUGCGCAUGCGUCACAGUGGGCUUGUUUAUCCGUGCAUCUCUGUAUCCGGGCCGUGUGCCCGUGCAUUGUAUGACGGAGUUCGCACACUUUUCGGGUUAAACAGGAAGCGACGUUCACAUCUCGGAGCUGUAGACCAAGAUUAACACCUGUGAACACAUGAAUACAAUGCAUCCCCCCCCCCCUUGUUGCUGGCCUCGCGAAAAAAAAAUCGUCAUGGCACGACCGGCCAUCAUAGCGUGAGUGCUAGCAGAUAUCAGCUCUGCACCAACAAUGUCAUGUCUUUUUCUCUUCUUUUUUGCAAUGAACCCAUAAUGGCCACUCAUUAAAGAAAUGGAAACCUCUAAUCACUACGUGUACAUAUAUAGCUCUAGGUGAGAAGUGGGCCUUAAGUGAACCUUCCUAAUUUUCGUGUGGUCAUCAAGAUGCCCUUCUGUUAGGAGUUGCCAAA